rnacentral:lncRNA from 1 species
GAGCGGCCAGCCUGUACCGGCCGCCGUGUACGGGCCCAUGUUUCCGGGCGUCCUUGCCCGAACCAGCCCUGCGAGGCAGGUUCAGCCCUCUCGCCGAGCAGAGAACAGAGGCAGGUAAGCGAUGCCUGGUGUCUUCCAUCUGCCCGAACUGGGAACCCGGAGCCUGAGACCUGACCCCCCGGAGGCAGGAGGCAGAGUGUGGAGAUGCACAAUGGCCCUACAGCAGGAAAAAAAGAUCACACUUAAGCAAAAGUAAACCACAGCCUGAUACUGUGCCAACAACAUUAACCAACUUCUCCUCGGCGUCUUUGAAGUCGGCGGGGGGCAACAUACUUGUGGCACAAGGAAAGAGCGAUCCUGUAAGUGAUUCCUUUUCAUCCCUUUAACUUAAUGAAAGAUUAAUGGCCUUGUUAUUUUUGUUUCUGCUCCUUUUUUCUCCCCUUUAAUUCCUGCCCACCGCACCCCCACGCCCGGCCCCCUUGGAAUAGAAAAUCCUGCCCUGCGAUGGCUUUCUGGGUCGAUGGCUUUCUGGUGGCUGUGACGCCCGUGCGUUGGCCGCCAUCUGCAAAGUGGACCACGCACGCCAAGGCCACAGCACCAGGCGUCCACGGAGGAGGAGCCCGGCGGUGACCGUGCAGACGGGAGCAGCGGGGGAGAUGGGCUUCCCGCAGACCAGCCUCCGCAGACCAGCCUCC